rnacentral:rRNA from 1 species
CCCGCUGAACUUAAGCAUAUCAAUAAGCGGAGGAAAAGAAACUAACAAGGAUUCCCCUAGUAACGGCGAGUGAAGAGGGAAGAGCUCAAAUUUUGAAUCUGGCGUCUUUGGCGUCCGAAUUGUAAUCUAGAGAAGUGUUUUCCGUGAUGGACUGUGCACAAGUCUCCUGGAAUGGAGCGUCAUAGAGGGUGAGAAUCCCGUAUAUGGCACAGAUUACCGUUGCCCUGUGAUACACUCUCGACGAGUCGAGUUGUUUGGGAAUGCAGCUCUAAAUGGGUGGUAAAUGCCAUCUAAAGCUAAAUAUUGGCGAGAGACCGAUAGCGAACAAGUACCGUGAGGGAAAGAUGAAAAGCACUUUGGAAAGAGAGUGAAACAGUACGUGAAAUUGUUGAAAGGGAAACGCUUGAAGUCAGUCGCACUGUUCGGGAUUCAGCCUUGCUUCUGCUCGGUUUACUUCCUGUUCAGUGGGUCAACAUCAGUUUUGGUCGGAGGAGAAAGGCUCGGGGAAGGUGGCAGCACUUGUGCUGUGUUAUAGCCCCUUGUUGUAUACUUCGACUGGGACUGAGGACCGCAGCACGCCUUUGGCCGGGGUUCGCCCACGUACGUGCUUAGGAUGUUGGCAUAAUGGCUUUAAGCGACCCGUCUUGAAACACGG